rnacentral:rRNA from 1 species
AACGAACGCUGGCGGCAUGCCUAACACAUGCAAGUCGAACGAGACCUGCGGGUCUAGUGGCGCACGGGUGCGUAACGCGGGGGAACCUGCCCUUAGGUGCGGAAUAACUCCCCGAAAGGGGUGCUAAAACCGGAUAAUGUGUUCGGACCAAAGAUUUAUGGCCUGUGGAUGUGCCCGCGUUGGAUUAGCUAGUUGGUAGGGUAAAAGCCUACCAAGGCGACGAUCCAUAGCUGGUCUGAGAGGAUGAUCAGCCACACUGGGACUGAGACACGGCCCAGACUCCUACGGGAGGCAGCAGUGGGGAAUAUUGGACAAUCGGCGAUAGCCUGAUCCAGCAAUGCCGCGUGAGUGCUGAAGGCCUUAGGGUUGUAAAGCUCUUUUACCCGGGAUGAUAAUGACAGUACCGGGAGAAUAAGCUCCGGCUAACUCCGUG